rnacentral:snRNA from 1 species
GGGUGUGAGGGCAAUCUGGCUGCAGCAUCUCACCCCACUGAUGGCCAGGGUUGGUCUGGCUGGCUGGCUGGUGUCUGCUUCCUCCCUCAGUACUUCAUGUGCGCCCCUCCAGAAGCUGCACAUUUGGUCACAGAGGACACCUACCCCAAUAGAAGAGCGCCAACCCUCCAUCAGAGGUAUAGAGCAGCUGCUCUCCUUGCUAGAACCUGCGCAGACUAAAUGCCUAAUGAUGGAAAACAGUCUAUGAAAAGGGCUGAGGUGGCCAUUUGAUCCCUUCAUGG